UGGGACAGUUAGGAUCCUCUGCUAAGUGG
rnacentral:piRNA from 1 species